CGUUGCAAGUGCUUCCUGGAGCGCAUCCGAGGUCACGAGUCAUGUGACAGCGGCUUGACAGGCGGCUUCAGGGAGUCGACUGGACUACGGGGACACCCGGGCAGGUCUCCCCAGGCUGGAGAUCGCGUGCGUCUGCAGAGGUCGCCCCGUCUGUCGGCGCGGGGACAGGGCGUUCAGAUUGAUCCUGUGAGAGAAGGGGGUUCAUCAUGGCGGACGAUCUAAAGCGAUUCCUCUACAAAAAGUUGCCAAGGUAAGAAAUUAACUAGUUUGUUGCUGAAUAAGUUCAGUGUAACACAUUAAUCUUACAAAGGUUUUUGUUUGUCCUUUUUAAAAUUCGUAUUUUACAUAUGUCACAUUUAAAUGCACACCUAACCCCAGCUGUCAUUACUAAUGAUUUGGGUUUAUAGAUAGAUGGCAU